rnacentral:rRNA from 1 species
AACGAACGCUGGCGGCAUGCCUAACACAUGCAAGUCGAACGAGACCUUCGGGUCUAGUGGCGCACGGGUGCGUAACACGUGGGAAUCUGCCCUUGGGUUCGGAAUAACAGUUGGAAACGACUGCUAAUACCGGAUGAUGACGUAAGUCCAAAGAUUUAUCGCCCAAGGAUGAGCCCGCGUCGGAUUAGCUAGUUGGUGGGUAA